CUGUGUUCGUAGAUAAACGACUAAAGUGGACGGAGUUGGUUGCGUUUGUGAAUUUGGUAACGGAUACGUGGAAAAUUAAUAAUUUUCUGAAAAUAAUAAAUUUUCUGUUUUGUAAAUAAAAUUAAAUACAACAACGAAAAUGGCUCCACCACAAAGGAUGCGUGUUGCAAAUGAAAAGGCCAGCAAAUAUGUCACAAUGCGAGGAAAUGUACCAAAAUCGUCGAAAGUAAAAGAAAACCAAUAUCCAGUUGGUCCAUGGUUACUGGCAUUGUUCAUUUUUGUUGUUUGCGGAU